rnacentral:sRNA from 1 species
ACUCAACAUUACUUCUUUAAAAAGGGUGAGUUUAAGUUGUAAAAGCGUGCCGUUGCCGAUACUCUCGGAUAGACGGAUACUUGACCAGCUUGUUAACCCUAAACUUGUUUUUAGGGAGUUU